GAUGAACGCUGGCGGCGUGCUUAACACAUGCAAGUCGAACGGAAAGGCCCAAGCUUGCUUGGGUGCUCGAGUGGCGAACGGGUGAGUAACACGUGGGUGAUCUGCCCUGCACUUUGGGAUAAGCCUGGGAAACUGGGUCUAAUACCGGAUAGGACCAUCGUUUAGUGUCGGUGGUGGAAAGUUUUUCGGUGUGGGAUGAGCUCGCGGCCUAUCAGCUUGUUGGUGGGGUAAUGGCCUACCAAGGCGUCGACGGGUAGCCGGCCUGAGAGGGUGUACGGCCACAUUGGGACUGAGAUACGGCCCAGACUCCUACGGGAGGCAGCAGUGGGGAAUAUUGCACAAUGGGCGCAAGCCUGAUGCAGCGACGCCGCGUGGGGGGUGACGGCCUUCGGGUUGUAAACUCCUUUCGCCAAGGACGAAGCGUUUUGUGACGGUACUUGGAGAAGAAGCACCGGCUAACUACGUG
rnacentral:rRNA from 1 species